UGGGGAAUAUUGCACAAUGGGGGAAACCCUGAUGCAGCGACGCCGCGUGAGCGAAGAAGGCUUUCGAGUCGUAAAGCUCUGUCCUAUGAGAAGAUAAUGACGGUAUCAUAGGAGGAAGCCCUGGCUAAAUACGUGCCAGCAGCCGCGGUAAUACGUAUGGGGCGAGCGUUGUCCGGAAUUAUUGGGCGUAAAGGGUACGUAGGCGGUUUUUUAAGUCAGGUGUCAAAGCGUGGAGCUUAACUCCAUUAAGCACUUGAAACUGAAAGACUUGAGUGAAGGAGAGGAAAGUGGAAUUCCUAGUGUAGCGGUGAAAUGCGUAGAUAUUAGGAGCAAUACCGGUGGCGAAGGCGACUUUCUGGACUUUUACUGACGCUCAGGUACGAAAGCGUGGGGAGCAAACAGG
rnacentral:rRNA from 1 species